AUUGAACGCUGGCGGCAGGCCUAACACAUGCAAGUCGAGCGGAUGCAGGGAGCUUGCUCCUGGAUUCAGCGGCGGACGGGUGAGUAAUGCCUAGGAAUCUGCCUGGUAGUGGGGAUAACGUCCGGAAACGGGCGCUAAUACCGCAUACGUCCUGAGGGAGAAAGGGGGGGAUCUUCGGACCUCACGCUAUCAGAUGAGCCUAGGUCGGAUUAGCUAGUUGGGGGGGUAAAGGCCUACCAAGGCGACGAUCCGUAACUGGGCUGAGAGGAUGAUCAGUCACACUGGAACUGAGACACGGUCCAGACUCCUACGGGAGGCAGCAGUGGGGAAUAUUGGACAAUGGGCGAAAGCCUGAUCCAGCCAUGCCGCGUGUGUGAAGAAGGUCUUCGGAUUGUAAAGCACUUUAAGUUGGGAGGAAGGGCAGUAAGUUAAUACCUUGCUGUUUUGACGUUACCAACAGAAUAAGCACCGGCUAACUUCGUG
rnacentral:rRNA from 1 species